rnacentral:lncRNA from 1 species
CAACCCCAAGUUCUUCAACCCCACCCGUCACCGGCUCUUUGUCAACUUGCACCCACUGCCUGCUCCGAUCAACUGGAUCCCACUGUCUUCAUCCACCGUCGGCUCUUCCCCAACCCCCAUCCAAUAGUAGCGAACUAUAUUAUUCCCUAACCUCCACCCACUGUCUCCUCCUACGACUGGCUCUUCCCCAAAAUUCAACUCUCACCCUCCACCCCCAUCCACCACCAGCC